AAACAGUUUAAGGUUAGAGGUUAAAUCGGAUGUCAACUCAGAGUCAGAAUCAUAGAUAUAUAAUAAUUAUAGGUCUAUGCUCAGAAUAUAGAAUAGAAUAUGGAUGAACCACGAACGUACAGUAUUCUUUAUUCUAAGUUCAUUAGUCAGGUAGAAAAGAAAUCUAUGAUAGUUCUAUCCUCUAUGUGAUUAACUAAUUUUUAUCUGUGAACUCGAGUUACAGGGUGUUUCUGAAAAAUUACUGUCUCAAAUAUCUCGACAUACAUAUUUUGGAUUCUGUUUUAGAUAUUCGGAAAAUUCUAAACCUUAUGGUUUUUAUGGUUCAUAUGGAACUCAUGACAGAUCAUAGAAAUCAAUGACCUCUUUAGAGAUACAGAUGAGAGUAAAUGUUUCUUAAAUGGGACACCCUAUAUAUGAUAUAAUUACAAUCAUAUAGUGAACACAAAAUUAAUUGAAUCUCGAAAUAAAUGAAAAAUAUUAAUAUAUAAGGUGUCCCAUUUGAUUAGAAAUUAAUUAUUUUUUUAGAGAUAUAGAGGAUAUGUAACGGUUCGAUUUACACCAUUGGAUAUUUCGGUUGGUAGUACGCCCUCUGGAAGUUGAUUGUUGAUUCAACUCGGAAUGUUCCGUAUUAAUAUAAAUUUCAAUUUAUUGUGGAACACUUAUUUCCGGAUAAAUGAGGUCGAUUAUUAUUACCGUGGGGAAAUAUUUUAUAAUUUCUGGAUUUCUUGUAUUACUUUUCUUCUGUGUGGGAAGUUUCGUUUGACAACUGGUAGAUUCUGUGGUUAUGAAUGAUUGUCAGAAAUAGAGGUUAUCGGCGAUUGGAGAUAAUUUUGAGAGAAGUUUUUUUGGAAAGAAAAUUUGCCUGAUUGAAGAAUAUAUGAUCUAGAAUCAUCCUUGUUAUAGGCGAUUAUUUCUUCAAUUUGGGUAAUUCCCUGUAUGGUUUAUGGUAUUGUAAAUAAUUUUGGGAAAUACGUUUUAUACGUGAUUAGAAAGUUUUCUUCCACAAGGCCCAUCUCUGGUAUUGAAUUUUACUCUGAAGAUCUGAGAGGUAUGAUAUAAUUCCUAUAUCUUGUGUCAUUAUCUGAGAUUUCUAUUUUAUUAGGAUUCGCUUCCCGCUGAUAAGUUCGAACACCUGUUGAACACGAAGAAUAUCAAGAAGAUCCUUUUCCCUCGAACAAGAACUGAGAGGGUCCUAGUGCCUGGUUGGAUUUGGAAUCCUAGUGCCUGGAUAUCUUUGAAGAAUCCUAGUACCUGGAUAUUGUUGAAGAAUCCUAGUGCCUGGAUAUUUUUGGCAAUCCUAGUGCCUGGUUGAAUUGAAUAAUCCUAGUGCCUGGAUCACUGUUUGGAAUCCUAGUGCCUGGAUAUUAUUGAGAAUCCUGGUGUCUGGUUGAAUUUGAAGAGUCCUAGUGACUGAUUACGUUCAGGAGUUCUGGAGUCUGGUAUAUGGUAUGGUUUGAGGUUAUGGUACUUAUUUUCUGGUGAAUUUCUGGUGCAGUUCUGAUGUAUGAUACAUUCUGAUACAUGGUACAGUUCGAGUACAUAGUAUAUUGCUGACAUAUGGUGUAGCUCGAGUAGAUGGUACAUUCUACGUUUAGAGACCCCACCGUUUAGAUUUGCUGUCAACCUUCAAUAUUGAUUUUGUAUCAGGUAACCGGUGCUUGCACUGGCUUUAAUGAGUAUUGUACUGAGAUUUAAUUUUUGAAGUAACGAUUUAGUGUACUGAUAGUAAAUCAGUUAUUUGAAUAGGAGUUAACGGCUUUAUUAUUAAUUUUCUAUCCAUUGAUAGUUAGAUUGAAAUAUAUUGAAUAAAGGUUGUUUCAUGCUCAUUAUUUACUGUCGAAAUUGUAAACAGUUUGCGGUGAGGUGCACUUCACUAACUGGCCAUUUAUUUUAACAACUAUAAUACUUGUGUAUCCCUUCAGGAUUUGUGACUGGGAUUUAUUAUCACUUUAUUCAACCUGCUAUUUUAUACCAGCCAGUUAUUACAACCACUGUAUUUGUAUAUUCCUUCUGGAUUUGUGGUUUAGGUCAAUCUUCUUGUUUACUUGGUUAUUUUUCUGGUUUAGUAUCUGGUAUAUUUGGAGUUUGUUGAACUCCGUUUACGUUUAGUUUUGGUACUGAGGUACUGAAGUUUUAGGUUAAGCCUUAGCCAAGUGUAGGCUAAUUAAGGAUUCUGUUGUCAGGAUUAGGUUAGGUAUUAUAGGUUAUAGGAAGCCCUUCUGGUAUUUGUUAGUAUUAGGUAAAGUUUUUGGGAAGCCCUUCUGGCUCUUGGUAACUUUGAGAAUUCCUUUUUUUUUAUUUUUUUAUUAUCAACCACUGCAUAAAUUUUAAUUUUAUUAAACGUUUGACUUGA